rnacentral:misc_RNA from 1 species
GGGGAUGUGAGUUGGUUGAGCCAGAGAAUGCAGCUAAUGCAACCGGUGCCAUCGUCGAUUGUGAAUUUGAGGAAUUUGUUUGGUUUGUGAUCACGGGUGGUUACGAUGCCGAGGAUUUCGGCGCGUGAGAGAGACUUGCCUAGGCGAGAGAAGAAGAUUGGGUCGGAAGAGGAGAGAGACGGGGUUUGGGCGAGAGAGAGGAGAUCGAAGGCCAGGAGUUUUACGUAUGUGUGUUGGAAUUUUAGAUCCAUUGUUAGAGAUUUUGAGUUCCAGAUUAUAGUUAGAUUAAUAGUCUCCCGGUUGGCACCUGGCUCGGAGAACACCCCCCCACCCCGGUAUGGUCUGUUUGGAUGAG